ACGACUGUAGCCUGUGGAGACACCGGUUCCCCUACGAUUACCGAAGUUAAGCAACGUUGAACAUGGUUAGUACCUAGAUGGGUGAAUGUUUGGAAAUAUCAGGUGCUGUAU